AUAUAUUUCUUAUUAUAUGUUGAUGAUAUUGUGGUUAUGGAUAGUCAUGAUCAGCUUCUACAGAGCUUCAUUGAUGCUUUAGGUCAUGGAUUUGAUAUCAAGGAUCUAGGUCCACUCCACUACUUUCUUGGUUUACAGGUCACUUCUCAUUCCCAUGGUAUUCACCUCAAUCAAGUCAAGUAUGCACAUGACAUCCUUCUAAGCAUGACCUGUUGCUAAGCCAACCCGUGAGCACACCUUUGUCUGCAAAGUCUCUUCUCAGUGCUAAUGAUGGGGUUUUACUUGAUAACCCUACUAUGUUCCGCGAAAUGAUUGGGCCGGUUGUCUGGACUCUCGUCGCUCCACCUCUGGCUACCUCAUCUAUCUUGGCGGCAACUUAAUCUCCUGAUGCUCUAAGAAGCAGCCCACAAUUGCUCACUCAAGUGCGGAAUAUGAAUAUCGCUCCCUUGCUCAUGCAAGUGCUGAAUCCACCUGAUUAUCAUUCUGUCCGGGAAAAGGUAGCACGACUAAGUGUCAGCUAUAUACCUUCGGUGGAUCAACCUACUGAUCUUCUCAUGAAACCACUCCAUAAGCAUCGUCAUCUUCUUCUCUACACCAAACUUGUGUGUCCAAAACUGCCCAGUUUGAAGGGGGUGUUAGAACGACUACAUCUUCUCCUAAACUUCAGCCAUCUGAUUCUCCUACAUUAACUACAUAGGCUGUUUUGAUUCUUGUGUAUCAGUUUAGAUUAUAGCUGUAUCAGUUUAGAUCAUAG